UACGUAGGUGGCAAGCGUUGUCCGGAUUUACUGGGCGUAAAGAGCGCGCAGGCGGUCGUUCAAGUCGCGUGUGAAAGCCCCCGGCUCAACUGGGGAGGGUCACGCGAUACUGAUCGACUCGAAGGCAGGAGAGGGUAGUGGAAUUCCCGGUGUAGUGGUGAAAUGCGUAGAUAUCGGGAGGAACACCAGUGGCGCAAGCGGCGGCCUGGGUAUGACCUGACACUGAGCCACGACGGCGUGGGGAGCAAACGGG
rnacentral:rRNA from 1 species